UUUUUUUUUUUUUUUAAUUUGUUAAGAAGGAAUCUUGGUUUUUGAUGUCUGCAAACUUAUUUGAUGGAUUUUCUGUUACAAUCCUUGCUUGAUACUUGUGGGAUAUAGGGUAUGUUUCGGGGGAAGUUAAUUACAAAUAUUAUUGGAGAGUGAAUUCAAGAAGUACAAUGUUGGAAAAAUGAGUUCUACUUUUAUCAGUGCUAUUGGUAGGGCUAUAAAAAAACUAAGCAGUAAAGGAGCAGCUUGUUGGGGAUUGAAUAUGUAAUUUCCGCCAUUGAGCAAUAGUCUGCUGGUUGGGUAUUUUUGUGGCAAUGCUGGUAGCUCAACUGCUCAAGCCCUUGCUUUCUUCUUUCUUCUCAAAAAUUGUCUAAUUCCUUUUUAGGGAAAUUUUUUUUGAACAUCUAUUUAGGGAAAAAAGAUUGGAUGUGAUAUCAUUUUGGUCCUAUAAGUAUUAGGACUCUCUAUCAUAUUGACUCGAAACUUAACUUUGUUAAUGGAUGAGUAGAAAUUUUUCAGAAAUACCAGAAGCUUUAGCUGUUUUUAGAUUCUUUGAUAGAACUCUAAUCCAGGUGUAGAGCCAACAAGGCUUUAGGUGUGAUGGCAAGGACUUUUAGAAGUACAUCCCAAAGCUUUCAAUCUUUUCUUCAAAUUUUCAGAUAAUGCGGAGUGAAAUACAGAUCUGCAGUUCUUUCUUCCCGCUAUCAAUUAGCAUAAAAAUAUCUUUAACAUAUAAAAUAUCCUGUUUUAUAGAACCAGCAUCUUUACAGUUGGCCACAACCUUAUUUUCCUUUUUUUUAAAAAAAAAAA
rnacentral:misc_RNA from 1 species